CACGGGUGAGUAACACGUAUCCAACCUGCCGUCUACUCUUGGCCAGCCUUCUGAAAGGAAGAUUAGUCCAGGAUGGGAUCAUGAGUUCACAUGUCCGCAUGAUUAAAGGUAUUUUCCGGUAGACGAUGGGGAUGCGUUCCAUUAGAUAGUAGGCGGGGUAACGGCCCACCUAGUCAACGAUGGAUAGGGGUUCUGAGAGGAAGGUCCCCCACAUUGGAACUGAGACACGGUCCAA
rnacentral:rRNA from 1 species